rnacentral:lncRNA from 1 species
CACGUAUUGCAUAAGUACGCAAAUGAGGACGUUUCUUUAGGAUCUUGGUUUAUUGGGCUUGAUGUUGAACAUAUUGACGAUCGAAGAUUAUGUUGUGGGACCCCGCCAGAUUGUGAGUGGAAAGCACAGGCUGGAAACAUAUGUGUAGCAUCAUUUGACUGGACUUGUAGCGGGAUUUGUCGGUCCGUUGACAGGAUUAAGGAAGUCCAUAGACGAUGUGGCGAGGGCGAAAACGCUGUUUGGUCAGCCAAAUUUUGAGAUUACCGAUUUGUUGCGUUUUCUUUCUAAAUUUGGAAAGACUUUAAGAUCAAGAAAUUGAAAGCCAAAGCCAAGGUUUGUAAAGAAUAUGUAUAUUUUAACACCAUUGGAGUGAAGAGGCCAAUUGAAGAGAUGCCCUGCUAUGCAAGAUUUCUUCAAAAAUAUUACAAUUAGAGGAAUGCAAGCAAAGCAAGAGGCUCUUGCUCUUUUUGCACAUUUGUUUCUUUCUAUUUUUGGUAAUAAUAGUUCACUUGGGCAGUUUUAAGGGUUCAAGUUGUAAGUGACAGUGGAUUUUGGUUUUAUAAAAAUAUACUAAAAAUAAAUUUU